GAGUGAGUUGUUGAAGAUGUUGUUGUCAUCUGCUGCUGAAGUUGUUUCACUAAAUGAGUCAGCUAUGAUAGUCAAUAACAAGACAUUCUUGUUUUCUGCAUUUGCAUGGUGAAAAAAACAAUAUAUUUAGCCUGUGAAUAUGUGCAGGAGUGACAGAGAAUAAAAAGAAACACUACUUUCUGUCACAGAAGACAAAACACAUCGGCUCAUUGAUGCACAGAGCGAUUUUAUUCAAUAAACAUAAAUAUAGCACAAUACAAACACGUGAAUAUUUUUAAUAUUUAUACUGUAACAAGUCUCUGAGUAAAGUCUCUAAAAAAGUUAUAGUUUUCAAGUUUGCUGUCAGUUUUCUGAGGGCAGUGCCAAUGAAAACAGGGAUCCUGAAGCUGGAGUCCAGAUGAAGGUCAGAUCUGAUGAUCCUCAUUCACUGCAGCUCAACGGCUCCGUGUCCAGAGGAUGAUCUUCUUCAUCAUCAUCUUCAUCACAGCUCAUUUUCACAUCAAACUCAGAGCUGAACAUCACUAUGAUCUUUGACUGAGUUUCAGUUCAUUCUGAGCUUCUGAACACUUUUAUUCCUGCAUCUGUCUGUUUCCAGACGUGUGACCACAUCUCAUAGACUUGAUCGUGUUUCUGUCUCCUGAAUUCUGCCUCUAGAAACAAAUCUCCAUUUAUAAAUGGUGAACUCAGACGUUCAGAGUUUCAUCACCAGAAAGUGAAGCAUCAUGUAUUUAAUGUAAUGUAUUGAUCCAGAUUCACAUGAGAUGACUCCAAGCUAAAUCCUGCUGUCCAGAUCAUUACUUCUGUUACUCAUGUCAUACAGAUGUGUUUUGUUAUUAUUAUCAUAUGAACAUUAGUUCGAUACCAGAUGACUCUGAUAUGAUUAUUUUGGUCUCAAAGACAUUAAAGCUUUAUUUCUGUGAAGCUGCUGACACUGAGAAACACAGAUCUCUGUAAAGCUGCAUUGAAAUGAUAUGUAACAAAAAUAAAUACAUGAUCUGAAAAUAA